AUCCCCGUAGCACAAUGGAUUCUGCAUUGAACUUCUAAUCCGAAGGUCGUGGGUUCGAAUCCCACCUAGGAUG